rnacentral:rRNA from 1 species
AGGACGAACGCUGGCGGCGUGCUUAACACAUGCAAGUCGAGCGGAAAGGCCCUUCGGGGUACUCGAGCGGCGAACGGGUGAGUAACACGUGAGCAACCUGCCCUUAGCUCCGGGAUAGCUCCGGGAAACCGGAAUUAAUACCGAAUACGACUACGGCCGACAUCGGCUGUGGUGGAAAGUUUUUCGGCUAGGGAUGAGCUCGCGGCCUAUCAGCUUGUUGGUGAGGUAACGGCUCACCAAGGCGACGACGGGUA